rnacentral:rRNA from 1 species
AACCCUUGUCCUUAGUUACCAGCACGUAAUGGUGGGAACUCUAAGGAGACUGCCGGUGACAAACCGGAGGAAGGUGGGGAUGACGUCAAGUCAUCAUGGCCCUUACGGCCAGGGCUACACACGUGCUACAAUGGUCGGUACAAAGGGUUGCCAAGCCGCGAGGUGGAGCUAAUCCCAUAAAACCGAUCGUAGUCCGGAUCGCAGUCUGCAACUCGACUGCGUGAAGUCGGAAUCGCUAGUAAUCGUGAAUCAGAAUGUCACGGUGAAUACGUUCCCGGGCCUU